rnacentral:snRNA from 1 species
GUGCUCGCUUCGGCAGCAUACAUCCUAAAACUGAAACAACACAGAGAAGAUUAGCAUGGUCCCAUGCGCAAGGAUGACACGCAAAUUCAUAAAGUGUUCCAUAUUUAA